rnacentral:lncRNA from 1 species
CACUACGCCCCUGCCGCACCGUCGACCCCCUCCAGCGCUCGUCCACCGACUCUCAGCUCUGACGAGCUCCUGCCUAGGUUGCCACAUCGUCCCUCCUUGCUCCCUUCUUCUCUCCCUCACCUCCCUGUCACCUCUCUGCCUAGGAGCCGCGGAUGCCAUGGAUGCGCCCGGGAAGCCGCGCUCCAGCCUUCCUCGUCAUCAUCGGUGACUCCCGUCUCGCCGCCCACCUCUGGAUCCGUCUCCCGAGCACCUGCCACGGAUGGAUCUGACCCCUUCAACUCCAGUCGCCGUCGCCUUUCUGCAUCGAGCCGCUUUGUCACUCCGCCGCCUCCAGCAGCGGAGAUCGGGGUGAGAUGAGGCGGCGGCAGAGAGCGGGGUGAGGGGCGGCGGCGAGCGAGGUGCGGGGAGAUGUCGGCGGCGAGCGGGAUGAGGUGUGGCGGCGGCGAGGGAAAGGCUCGGGAUGAUUCGGGACGGGGUUCGCUCUGGCUCGGGUCGGGUCAGGGAUCGCGAAACGGUUUUCUUUUUAGCAAACUUUAUCCCAGAUCCACCUAUGUAGGGACUAUGGGUUCAAAUAUCAGAAGUAGCAGGGGCGUUUUUGAAAAAUUCCAUGACGGAAAUUCCGACAGAAGCGAUAGGCUCUUUAUUAUUAUUAGGUAAAGAUUGGCUCAUUAAACGAAGGAAACACCUACGUAGAUACUAGGAUUUAGGCCACGUAUACAAAAAUGAGUCCACAACCCACGCUAGGAUAUGACAAAAAAAAACAACGUGCCUUCCCUCCUUGAAUGGGAAAGAAAGAUGCCCAAAUAAAAAGGCAUGCCCCACGUGCAUACAAAAAUGAGUCGACAACUGCUUUCCCGUAAAAAGAAUGAGCCCACAACUCCCGCACUAGGCUGUGAAAAAAAAAACGUGCCUUCCCUCCUUGAGGCCUUGUUUGGUUGCAACAGAUUUAAAAGGGAUUGUAGUGGAUUGAGAAGGAUUAAAUCCCUUGUAAGUGAAAUUCCACCUCAAGCCGCUUCAAUCCUCUUUAAUCCUUUUAUGGUGAGGAUUAACCGAACAAGCCCUGAAUGGGAAAGAAAGAUGUCCAAAUAAAAAGUAACGCCCCACGUUACGAGGUGUCAAACUCCCGCGGUACUAGAAAAACAAAAUCUGUGCAACUGAAAAAAAGGUGACCUUCAACCUCACGCUAAAAAAGGAGACAUAAAUAAAUAAAUAAAACAAAACGUACAUGAAUAUAAUUUUUUCAUGAAACUAAAUAAAUAAAUAGAAAUAUGGCCAUGCGUACAAACAAGAGUCCCAACAACCCACUUCCAAAUUAUAACAGAAAAAAUUUGCCUUUUUAUCUUGAAAAGGGAAGCAAAGACAUGUAGAAAUAAGAAGUUAGGCCCCACGUUAUCUCUCCCUAAUAAUAAAGCAAAUACGGUUUUUGGUCGUCCGUCAUUUAAAUUACCCUCAUAGUUGGCUAAAAUUACCCACCAAUGCCACUCGUAAGUGAAAAAAAGGUUCGUUUUUCAGAUUUAAGAAGUCGCCGCCGUUCUUUGUUGUUAUAUCGUCCGAUACAUUAGCAGUACAAGAACCGACGAGUAGCGCGAUGGCUAACGCUUCAAAGCUCCACACUUUUUCCUUCUCUAAAUUAAUUCCAGAUUUCAAAAGAACAAAGUAUAAAAAAUUUAUGAGUAUAAAAAAUGUAGGAAAAAGCAAAAACUGUUUGUGUAUUCGAAAAAUAUAUUUAAAAAGUCAUAAAAUAUUAAUGAGUUUGAAAAUAUUCAUUUCUUUUUCUUCUCUAAAUUAAUUUCAGAUUUAAAAAGAACAAAGUAUCAAAAAAUUAUGAUUAUAAAAAAUAUAGGAAAAAGCAAAAACUGUUUGUUUAUUCGAAAAAUAUAUUCAAAAAGUCAUAAAAUAUUCAUGAGUUCGAAAAUUGCUCACAUAUUAUAAAACAAAUCAGUAUUUCAAAUAAAUUGUAAUAAAAUUCUAAAUGAUCAUGAUUUUUGUAUAAAAUUAUCCAGUAAUCAAAACAUAUUCAUGAAUUUGAAUAGCUUGUCCAUCAUCUUUUAGAAAAUCUUCAUAAAAAUUAAUACACAUCCAUAAAUAAUGAACAAAACCAACUGUCGCUUACAUAAAGGUUUUAUUAGGAGUUCAGUAAAGGUCAUUUUAUGAUUUUAUUUAGACCUUUGCAUAUCAAAAAGUUGCGAGUCUGAAAAAAAGUAGGAAAAUGAUAAACCAUUUGUGAAUUCAGAAAAAUAUUAGAAGAAUCGUAAAAAGUUCAUGAGUUCAGAAAUUGCUCACACAUUAUAAAAAAAUCACAAUUUCAAAUAAUUUUUCAUGAAGUAAGAAAUGAUCAAAAAUUUAAAAAUCAUCCGGUAUUCAAAGGAUAUUCAGGAAUUUGAAAAACAUCUCCAUCUAUUUUUUGAAAAUGUUCGCAAAAAUUAAAACACAUCCGUAAAUAAUGAACAAAACUAAAUGUCGCUUACAUACAGGUUUUAUUACGAGAUCUCUGGAGGUCGUUUUAUGAUUUUUUUAGUGCCUCGCGUUAGGCAAAGAAAGGUUUUCGUGUUUUGUACAACACUGAGCCCAAUCAAAUUGACACAACUUUUUAUGGGUUAGUUUUGUACAUAAUUAUGUUUAUUCUCGUACCUGAAUACUGGUUAUGGUAAGCACCGCUAUGCUAAGUUAAGUCGGGGCACAUCAUUCAUCAGUAUAGCUCAGGCAGGUCCGUAAAUGCAGUUUGCUCAGCCACAAAAUAUAAUGUUGUGACGCCUUAAGAAAUCAAGUCGCGAUGAGCAUCAAUUUUUUUGUUUAUGAAAUCAUACUUUUUUAUAUCUACCACACCUGCAUAAUGUAAUAGUUUUUUCCCGUUGCAAUGCACGGACAUAUUUGCUAGUUAAAGACUAAGAUCCCAUAGAGCGAGAGAGACAGAAUCCAUGCACGUAUAAAAAUAAAGGGCACUAUUCGGCGACGGCGCGUCGGUCGCAGCGCGGCAGUUAAAUCCGUGGACCGCAUCGUUAGAUCUGUCCAUGCAGCAAAAUUCUCCCGAUGCAGCAAAUUUCGGUCAUGAUGCAACAAUUUUCGUCUACGGUCGCAACAAAAAUAUAGUUAUAGCAAAAAAAUAUCAACGCAUUCGUAGCAAAGAAAACGACGCUGAUGAUGCGUGGUAGCAAAACAAAAUAUGGGUUGUAGCAAAAACAAUUCGGUGAACUCGGGUUGCAACUGUGACGAACGUGUAUGCAACUUUUUUAGUGAACGUUGCAGCAAAAAACGAUACCGGUUAUAGCAAAAAUUAACACGGUUAUAGCAAAAAUCAAACGUCGGUUGUAUCACAAAUCCAACGAACACAAGUUACAACCGAACGUGGAUGCACCUUUUUUAAUGAACAAAAAAUAGUAAAAUAGAAAAUGUUUAUAGCAAAUUUAAACAUUGUUGCAGCAAAUCUGAAUAAGAAAAUGUUACACGACUGGCCAGCAAGGAGCGCGAGCCGCGCGCGACCGGCCAAACGUUUCGGCCGGCGCGCCGGAUGGAAACGUUUCUCAAAAAUAAAAGUGAUCAAUCCUCACGUUAAUAAGGAGAAUAUAUGCCUGAUUUUGAAAAGUAAAUUUCAACACGGAGUAGAGCAAGCCAAACGUGUUGCCAGCGCCGAAGUCAUUUCUAUAUGCAUGAUGCAGUGGACAACAUGUUAUUACAAAUAAUAUUGUUUCAUCUAUCUUUCUAUAUGCAUAACGCGUAGUGUACGACUUAUCAUUACAAAUGACUCCAUCGAAACUAAUCAGUGCAUGAUAUAUGUUUUCAUAAGUAGGUUUCAUUUGUUUCCUUUAAGCAUUAAACACAUCAUUUUCUCCUUUUAAAGGAUUAGAUCAUUGAUGUAUACGUUCACAUUCAUGUUGCUAGAAUAUCAUGUCUGUGUGUGUUUCUUACCUUUUGUUAUAACAAUAAAGCACUAAAUAUACUACAUAUUUCUAUAUUUAUUACUUAUUAUGUUGUAUAGUUGUUAUAAUAUAAAACUGAUUUUUUCUCUAUUGUUAUUUUGAUAUAUAUGGAAAGCUAGAAAAUUCCUAAAAGUAUAUGUGCCAACUUCACAUGCCUAUUCAUACCAAUGAUUUUGAAGUUAAAGAAAUUAUGUAUGCUUACCAUUCCUUGUUUCAAGAAAGUUUGAGAUAUGACAUAGCAUGAGGGUAUUCAAAUAAAUUUUUUUAGUGAGGAGAUUUAUUUAUUUUUAGUUAGUGGGAUCGCGUAUAAAAUGAUGUCUCACCCUAAUCUCUCUGUGGCAAUUGUUAUUGAUCCUGGCAUAUUUAUGUCAAAAAAAUUAAUGCAUAGUAAAUAAAAUACAUUCGCCUGUGUAAUCAUAUAUAGGAUGUAGGAAUAGGAAUAUUGAACACAUUUCUGAAUCUCUUCAAAGUAUGAUUUUGUAAUCAAGUUUGUUAAUUAUUUAUAUAAAUAUUAACAUAUGCAUUGAAUGAUUUCGGAGAGAACAUACUCAUAAAAAGUUCGACUGGGGAAGAUACUACCUUCCUUUUAGAAGACAAUUCAUUCAAACAUACUCUAAAGUAGUAGGAAUUCAUGUUUGGAAUUUAAACAAUAAUGCUGGAACAUGGUAGUUCCUAGCCCGCGCAGGGGCGCGGGUUGAUGUCUAGUGGAUAAUAAACGAUUAUCAUGAACAAGCAAAUAUAAUAAUAACCAAUUUAUAAUUGCCUCUAGGACAUAUUUCCAACAGUGUCCCACUUACGUUGCAAUGGAACAAAAAAAUCAUAAUCCCCAACACAAAUAUAUGGAUUUUUUUUGUGUGCUGCGUUUCGGUGUCGAUGGUUUAUUAUGCAACAUCAGGCAACUGGUAAUUCUCUAAAUAUUUUAAAGAGCAUGAAACUGGUAAUUCAGCAAAUAACAUCACAUUACCAGGUAUGCCCAACCGUGGUCCAAGUGACUUGAAUUUCAUCAAUUAUUGCCAUGUAGAAGAACAAUCGAUUAUUAUACCAUAAACCACGUUUGAAUCGAUCAACACAUCAUUCCAAUAUAAUAUAGAUGCAGUGCCAUGGAGCUCAUCUGCUGGAAGGAGCUUGCUCCCUUGCGGGUACAAACGACAUGAAUGAGUGAGGGAGCGAUUUGUACUUUGAGUGACAACAUGAAUGACAUGGUUUUGAUUUUGAAUCUAUACUGAGAUGAAACUGGAGACACCGAAGGAACAAAGCAUCACAAACUGGAUAAUAAACGAUUAUCAUGAACAAGGAAAUAUAAUAAUAACCAAUUUAUAAUUGCCUUUAGGACAUAUUUCCAACAGUCUCCCACUUGCACUAGAGUUAAUAAUCUAGUUCACAUCACUAUGUGAUUUUAACGAAUCCAACACCCAUACAGUUCUGGGGUUUGAUCACGUCUUGCUUGUGAGAGAGGUUUUUAGUCAACGAGUCUGAACCUUUCAGAUUCGUGUGUGCUUUACAAAUUUCUAUGUCAUCGUGUAGGUCCUGCUACUAUGUAUCAUUCGGAACUAUUCCAAAUGACCGCUCUACUAUACGAAUCCGGUUUACUACGCAAAGUCAUCCGGAUUAGUGCAAAGCUUGCAUCGGCAUAACCCUUUACGACGAACUUUUUUAUCACCUCCAUAAUCGAGAAAAAUUCCUUAGUCCACUAGUUACUAAGGAUAACCUUUGACCGAUGUCUAGUAUCCACUCCUGGAUCACUUUCAUACCCCUUGACAGAUUCAUGGCAAGGCACACAUCAGGUGCGGUACACAACAUAGCAUACUAUAGAGCCUACGACUAAUGCAUAGGGGAAGACCUUCGUCCUUUCGCUUUCUUCUGUCGUGGUCGAGCUUUGAGUCUUACUCAAAUUCACACCUUACAACACAGCUAAGAACUCCUCCUUUGCCGAUCUAUUUUGAACUCCUUCAAAAACUUGUCAAGGCAUGCAUUUCAUUGAAAGUUCUACUAAGUGUUUUGAUCUAACUCUAUAGAUCUUGAUGCUCAAUGUUCAAAUAGAUCUAUCCAUGUUUUCCUGUGAAAAACUCCUUUCAAACAACCUUUUAUGCUUUCCAGAAAUUCUACAUUAUUUCCGAUCAACAAUAUGUCAAUCACAUAUUCCAUUGAGAAAUUUUAUAAUGCUCCCACUCACUUCUUUGUAAACAUAAGUUUCUCGUAAACUUUGUAUAAAACCAAAAACCUUGAUCAUCUCAUCAAAGCGUAUAUUCCAACUCCGAGAUGCUUGCUCCAGUCCAUAGAAGGAUCGCUGGAGCUUGCAUACUUGUUAGCAUCCUUAGGAUCGACAAAACCUUCUGGUUGUAUCACGUACAACCUUUCCUCAAGAAAACCGUCGAGGAAACAAUAUUUUGACAUCCAUCUUCAAGAUUUCAUAAUUGAAAAAUGCAGCAACUGCUAACAUAAUUCCAACAGGCUUUAGCAUCGCUACGAGUGAAAAAUUCUCAUCGUAGUCAACUCCUUGAACUUGUUGGAAACUUUCUUUGCAAUAAGUCGAGCUUUCUAAAUGGUGACUGCACCAUCAUCGUCUGUCUUCCUUUUAAAGAUCCAUCUAUACAUAACAGUCUUAUGACCAUCAAGUAGUUCUUCCAAAGUCUACACUUUGUUUUCAUACAUGGACCCUCUCUCGGAUUUCAUGGCCUCCAGUCAUUUGUCAGAAUCCGGGCCUACCAUCGCUUCUCCAUAGCUCGUAGGUUCAUUGUUGUCCUAGCAACAUGACCUCCAAGACAAGGUUACCGUACCACUCUGGAGCAGUAUGUGACCUUGUCGACCUACUUGGUUUGUAGUAACUUGAUCCAAAGCUUCGUGAUCACUAGCAUCAGCUUCCACUUCAAUUGGUGUAGGCGCCAUAGAAACAACUUCCUACGCCCUGCUACACAGUGGUUGAAGCGACGGUUCAAUAACCUCAUCAAGUUUCCACUAUCCUCCCACUCAAUUCUGUUGACAGAAACUUUCUCUCAGGAAAGGACACGUUUCUAGAACCAAACACUUUACUUCCGAAUCUAAGAUAGGAGAUAUACCCAAUUGUUUUGGGUAUUCUAUGAAGAUGCAUUUAUCUGCUUUGGGUUCGAGCUUAUCAGACUGAAACUUUUUCACAUAAGCGUCGUAGCCCCAAAAUUUUAAGAAACGAAAGCUUAGGUUUCUCCAAACCAUAGUUCAUAUGGUGUCAUCUCAACGGAAUUACGUGGUGCCCUAUUUAAAGUGAAUGCGGUUGUCUCUAAUGCCUAACCCCAAAAAUUAUAGUGGUAACUCUAUGAGAGACAUCAUAGUAUGCACCAUAUCUUAAUAUGGCGUGACUACGUUGUUUGGACACACCAUCACACUAUGGUGUUCCAAGUGGCUUUUGUUGUGAAACAAUUUCCACAUUGUCUUAAAUUAUGUACCAAAUUCGCAACUCAGAUAAUCAUCUCUACGAUCAUAUCGUAGGCAUUUCACCCUCUUGUCACGACGAUCUUCAACUUCAUUCUGAAAUUACUUGAACCUUUCAAUAAUUCAAACUUUUGUUUAAUCAAAUAAAUAUACUAAUAUCUACUCGAAUCAUUUGUGAAGUAAGAAGAUAAUGAUAUCCACUGCGUGCCUCGGCACUCAUUGGACUGCAUACAUCGAAAUGUAUUACUUUCAAUAAGUUACUUUCUUGUUCCAUCUCACUGGAAAACGAGGCCUUCAGUCAUCUUGCCCAUGUGGUGUGAUUUGCAUAUCUCAAGUGAUUAAAAAUCAAACGAGUACAAACGAUCCAUUUGGAUGGAGUUUCUUCAUGCGUUUUACACCAAUAGGCAUGGGUUGCAUGUCUCAAUCGAUUUAAAAACGAGUGAGUCCAAAGAUCCAUCAGUAUGGAGCUUCUUCAUGCGUUUUACACCAAUAUGACUAAAGUGUCAGUGCCACAAGUAAGUGGUACUAUCAUUACUACUUUGCAUCUUUUGGCAUCAAUAUCAUGAACAUGUGUAUUACUACGAUCGAGAUUCAAUGAACCAUUCACAUCGAUACAUGACAAUUGAAGGUAUUAUUCAUGUAAACAGAACAACCUUUUAUUCUCUGACUUAAAUGAAUAACCGCAUUGCAAUACACACGAUCCAAUCAUGUUCAUGCUCAACGCAAACACAAAACAACAUUUAUUUUGGUUCAACACUAAUCCCGAUGGUAUAGGGAGCGUGCGAUGUUGAUCGCAUCAACCUUGGAAACACUUCCAACACAUCGUCACCUCGCAUUUAGCUAGUAUCCGUUUAUUCCGGAGCUUUUAUUUCAAGUUACUAACACUUAGCAACCUGAACCGGUAUCUAAUACCCCGGUGCUACUAGGAGUACUAGGAAAGUACACAGCAACAUCAUGUAUAUCCCAUAUACUUUUGUCGACUUUGCCAACCUUCUCAUCUACCAAGUAACUAGGGUAGUUCCGCUUUAGUGACCGUUCCCCUCAUAAUAGAAGCACUUAGUCUCGGGUUUGGGUUCAACCUUGGGUUUCUUUACUAGAGUGGCAACUGGUUUGCCAUUUCAUAAAGCAUCCCUUUUAACCUUUACCCUUUUCGGAACUAGUGGUUCUACUAACCAUCAACACUUCAUGCUCCUACUUGAUUUCUACCUUCGUGGUGUCAAACAUCGCAAAUAUCUCAAGGAUCAUCAACUUUAUCCCUGAUAUGUUAUAGUUCAUCACGAAGCUCUGUAGCUUGGUGGCGGUGAGUUUGGAGAACUAUGUCAAUCACUAUCUUAUCUAGAAGAUCAACUCCCACUCGAUUCAAGCGAUUGUAACACCCAGACAAUCUGAGCACAUGCUCAACGAUUGAGCUUUUCUCCCUUACUUUGUAGGCAAAGAAUCAUGUCGAAGGUCUCAUACCUCUCAAAACGAGCAUGAGCCUGAAACCUCAAUUUCAUCUCUUGGAACAUCUUGUAUGUCUCGUGGCAUUCAUAACAUCUUUGGCGCCUUACUUCUAAGCCGUUUAAGCAUUACGCACUGAACUAUCAUGUAGCCAUAAAAAACGUGUAUGUCAGAUGUUCGUAACAUCUACAAACCACGCUCGGGGAUUAGCACACUCAGUAGUGCAUUAAGGACAUAAGCCUUCUCUGCCUCAAUGAGGACAAUCCUCCGUUUAUGGACCUAGUCCAUAUAAUUGCUACUAUCAUCUUUCAACUAAAUUUUCUCUAGGAACAUAUCAAAACAGUAGAGCUACAGCUCAAGCUACAACAUAAUUUACAAAGACAUUUUGACUAUGUUCAUGAUAAUGAUCUCAAUUAAUCAUAUUACUUACGAACUCCCACUCAAAUAGACAUCCCCCUAGUCAUUCGAGUGGCGCAUGAUCCAAAUCCACAAACUCAAGUCCGGUCAUCACGUGAGUUGAGAUUAGUUUCAAUGGUGAACAUCUCCAUGUUGAUCAUAUCAACUAUAUGAUUCAUGCUCAACCUUUCGGUCUCUUGUGUUGUGAGGCCAUGUAUGUACAUGCUAGACUCGUCAAGUUUAACCCGAGUGUUCUGUGUGUGCAACUGUUUUGCACCCGUUGUAUGUGAACGUUGAGUCUAUCACACCCGAUCAUCACGUGGUGUCUCGAAACAACAAAAUGUCGCAACGGUGCACUGUCGGGGAGAACACAAUUUUAUCUUGAAAUUUUAGUGAGAGAUCACCUUAUAAUGUUACCGUCGUUCUAAGAAAAAUAAGGUGCAUAAAAGGAUUAACAUCACAUGCAAAUCAGAAGUGACAUGAUAUGGCCAUGAACUUGUGCUUCUUGAUCUCCAUCACCGAAGCACCGACAUGAUCUCCAUCGUCACCCGCGCCGCACCAUGAUCUCCAUCAUAGUGCCGCCAUCGAGGUUGUCGUGCUAUCUAUGCUAUCACUACUAAAGCUACAACCUAGCGAUAUAGUAAAAGCAUUUGCAAGCAUAAACGUUAGUUUAACGACAACCAUAUGGCUCCUCUCGGUUGUCGUAGCAUCGACGUGCAAGCCAAUAUUUAACUAUUACAACAUGAUCAUCUCAUACAUCCAAUAUAUCAUAUCAUGUCUUUGGCCAUAUCACAUCACAUGCAUAUCCUGCAAAAAUAAGUUAGACGUCCUCUAAUUUGUUGUUGCAAAUUUUAUGUGGCUGCUAUGGGUAUCUAGUAUGAUCACAUCUUACUUACACAAAGCCACAACGAUGAUUUGCAAAUUUCUAUUUAACCUUAUCCAAGGACCACCUCGGUCAAAUCCAAUUCAACUAAAGUUGAAGAAACAAACACCCGCCAGUCAUCUUUAUGCAACAAGUUGCAUGUUUGCCGAUGAAACCGGUCUCUCGUAAGCGUACGAGUAAUGUUGGUCUGAGCCGCUUCAAUUCAACAAUAAUGCUGAAUUAUGAAAAGGCUAAGGAGGGAAGCUCGAACAUCAACACCCAAAAACUCUUUUGUGUUCUAAUCGAGAUAUCAUCUACGCAUGAACCUAGCUCAUGAUGCCACUGUUGGGGAACGUAGCAUGGGAAACAAAAAAAUUCCUACACACGCGCAAUACCUAUCCAUGGUGAUGAUCAUCUACGAGUGGGAAGAUAGAAUCUACAUACCCUUGUAGAUCGCUAAGCGGAAGCAUAUAUAAUGCGGUUGAUGUAGUGGAAUAUAUUUGCGAUCGAAAUCGCAUCCCGUCCCGUGAUCUCAUCACGAUCCUUCCCGUGAUCCCAUCACGAUCCAUCCCGAUCUAGUGCCGAACGGACGACACCUCCACGUUAAGCACACGUACAGCUCGAUGAAGAUCACCGCCUUCUUGAUGCAGCAAGAGGGGAGGAUAGAUAGAUGAGUUCUCCAACACGGCGGUGUGUUGGUGGUGGUGGGGAACUAAUCCAGUGGGGCCUCGCCUAAGCAGCGCUGAAACUAGACUAGAGGAGAAACAGAUCUAGAGAAAAGUAGAGGGAGCACGUGACAAUUAGGGUUAGGUAUCCCCUCCAAAUCCUCUAGUAUAUAUAGGAGCGAGGGAGGGUAGGAGGCAGCCUCAAACCCUCAAGGUUUGGCCGAAAUUGGAGGUGGAGGGAUCCUACUCCAAUCCUACUCCAAGUAGGACUCCUCUCACUUGGAAUAUUCCCCCUCUCCCUUUGGAAACCCUUUCCACCUUUGGGUUUUUCCUCGCAUGUGACUUAGUGGUUGGUUUGGCCAACCCACUAGGGGCUGGUUUGACUCCUCCCACAGCCCAUGAGGUCUUUUGGGUCAUCACACCCCUCCCGAUGGUCCCCCGUAGCCUCCCGGCACUCUCGAUAUACUACCGAUGAGCCCGAAACUUUUCAGGUGACCAAAACAGGACUUCCAAUAUAUCAAUCUUUACCUCUGAACCAUUCCAGACAUUCUCGUGAUGUCCUGUAUCUCAUGUGGUACUCCGAACAACCUUCGGUCAGCAGCACCUAUAACUCAACUAUACUGAAAUGUCACCGAACCUUAAGUGUGCAGACCCUGCGGGUCCGAGAACUACGUAGACAUCACAUGAGACACUCUCCGGUCAAUAUCCAAUAGCGGGACCUGGAUGCCCAUAUUGGAUCCUACAUAUUCUACAAAGAUCUCUAUCGGUUGAACCUCUAUGUCAAGGAUUCAGUUAAUCCCGUAUGUUGUUCCCUUUGUCCUUCAGUAUGUUACUUGCCCGAGAUUCGAUAUUCAGUAUCCCCAUACCUUGUUCAAUCUCGUGGCCGGAAAGUCUCUUUACUCGUUCUGUAGUACAAAAUCUCGUGACUAACUCCUUAGUCACAUUGCAUGCAAGGCUUGUUGUCAUGUUGUAUUACCGAGUGGGCCCCGAGAUACCUUUCCGUCACACGGGGUGAUAAAUCCCAUUUUUCAUCCAUGCAAACCCAACAAACACCUCGAGAGAUACCUGUAGAGCACCUUUAUAGUCACCCAGUUACAUUGCAAAGUUUGAGACACACAAGGUAUUCCUCCGGUCUCCGGGAGUUCCAUGAUCUCAUGGUCAUAGGAACAAAUACAUUGACAUGUAGAAAACAGUAGCAAUAAACUGACACGAUCACAUGCUACGUUUAUAGUUUGGGUCUUGUCCAUCACAUCAUUCUCCUAAUGAUGUGAUCCCGUUAUCAAAUGACAACACUUGUCUAUGACCAGGAAACCUUGACCAUCUUUGAUCAACGAGCUAGUCAACUAGAGGCUCACUAGGGACAGUGUGUUGUCUAUGUAUCCACACAUGUAUUUGAGUUUCCAAUCAAUAAAAUUAUAGCAUGGAUAAUAAAAGAUUAUCAUGAACAAGGAAAUAUAAUAAUAACCAAUUUAUUAUUGCCUCUAGGGCAUAUUUCCAACAAGCAACACCCGCAGUUAGGUCCCGCCUUCCCGUCCACCUGCACAUCUCCUCCCUCGGGUUCUGCGAGUUGUGGCGGCAGCCACGAUCCGUCGUGUUCCUCCUCCCACCACUUCCAUGCCUCUGCCCCAUGCUCCACCCGAUGCGCCGCCAUGGCAUGAACUAUAGCCGAGUCUCGCCUUCCCAUCCACCCGCACAUCUCCUCCCUCGGGUCCUGCGAUUUGCGACGACGACCACGAUCCGUCCUGCUCCUCCUUGAUACGUCUCCGUCAUAUCUACUUUUCCAAACUCUUUUGCCCUUCUUUUGGACUCUAAUUUGCAUGACUUGAAUGGAACUAACCCGGACUGACGUUGUUUUGAGUACAAUUGCCAUGGUGUUGUUUUUGUGCAGAAAUAAAAGUUCUCGGAAUGUCCUGAAAAUUUACGGAGAUUUUUUCUGGAAUAAAAGAAAAAUACCUGCACAAAGAUCCACCGGAGGAGGUGGACCAGUGGGCCACAAGCCCACAGGCCGCGGCCACCCCCCUGGCCGCGCCGUGAGGGCUUGUGGGGCCCACGUGGCUCCACCGCCCCGAAACUCAGCUCUAUAUCUUCCGUCUCACCCGGAAAAAAAAUCAGAGAGAAGGUUUCAUCGCGUUUUGCGAUACGGAGGCGCCGCCACAUCCUGUUCUUCAUCUGGAGAGCAGAUCUGGAGUACGUUUCGGGCUCCGGAGAGGGGAAAUCGUCGCCAUCGUCAUCAUCAACCUUCCUCAGUCGACAAUUCCAUGAUGCUCUUCAUCGUUCGUGAGUAAUCUCAUCGUAGGCUUGCUGGACGGUGAUGAGUUGGAUGAGAUCUAUCAUGUAAUCGAGUUAGUCCUUGAUGGGGAUUGAUCCCUAGUAUCCACUAUGUUCUAGAUUGAUGUUGCUACUACUUGGCUACGCUUAAUGCUUGUCACUAGGGCCCGAGUGCCAUGAUUUCAGAUCUGACCUAUUAUGUUGUCGCCAAUAUAUGUGUGCUUUAGAUCCUAUCUUGCAAGUUGUAGUCACCUAGUAUGCGUUAUGACCCGGCAACCCCGGAGUGACAAUAGCCGGGACCACUCCCGUAGAUGACCAUAGUAUGAGGAGUUCAUGUAUUCACCUUGUGUUAAUGCAUUGGUCCGGUUCUUUAUUAAAAGGAGAACUUUAAUAUCCCGUAGUUUCCAUUAGGACCCCGCUGCCACGGGAGGGAUGGGCAAUAGGUGUCAUGCAAGUUCUUUUCCCUAAGCACGUAUGACUACAUACGGAAUACAUGCCUACAUUAGAUUGACGAACGGGAGCUAGUUACAUAUCUCUCCGUGUUAUAGUUGUUACAUGAUGAAUCACAUCCAUCAUACUCAUCCAUGACCGAUCCACUGCCUAGGAGUCUUUUACUACUGGUCCUUGCUACGUUACUUUGUCUAGGCUUGUCCCUUGCUACAAAAGGGAUUGGGCCACUUUGUUGCUACUGUUGCUACCGCUGUUACUCCGCUGCUGCUGCUACUGCUGUUCCUUGUUACUUUUUUGUUACUUGUUGCAAGACCUUUUCCGACACCGCUGCCGGGGAAGAAUAUUUCCCAUCCACGUGCAACCUACUGGCGCCAUUGAUACAACAGUUAGGAAUAGUCUGCCAUCAACAGAUCGUUUCUUGUACCGUUGCUAUCAUACUACUUUGCUACUGAUACUUUGCUUGCAGACACUAAUCUUUUAGGUGUGGUUGAAUCUGACAAACUCAGCUGCUAAUACUUGAGAAUAUUCUUUCUCUUCCCCUUGUGCGAACCAACAAAUUUGGGUUGAAUACUCUACCCUCGAAAACUGUUGCGAUCCCCUACACCUGUGGGUUAUCAAGGCUUUUUCUGGCGCCAUUGCCGGGGAAGCACAACUAUAUUCUCUGAGUCACUUGGGAUUGACGUCUGCUGGUCACUAUGAGGAAUCCGAAAGAUCCAAGAACUAAACUCUUGCCUUCCACUACGAGGAGAGGUAAGUAACUGCCAUCUAGCUCUGCACUUGAUUCACCUUCAGUUUUGAGUAAGUUUGCGACUUCGUCUCCUGCUAGAAAUCUUGAUAUGUCGCCUGUGCUUGAUGAUGCUACUUCUGCUGCCCAUGAUGCUAUGCUUGAUACUAUGCCUGAUGAUGCUAUGCUUUGCUUGAUACUGCUUUGCCUGAUGAUGCUAUGCCUGUUACUGCUUUGCCACUAAGUGCAUUCCUUGAUGCACAUAUUGCUAGAGUUGCUGCUAGAUGUGAUGAUACUUCUGAAACUGUUGAUACUAUUGAAGUAGAACCUGCUACUAUGCCUGUUAUGCCUGAUACGCGCUAUGUUAUGGAAGGAGAGAUAGCUGAGGACUUUCUUGCGUGUAAGGAUAGCUAUGAUGUUGAGAAACUACUACGCAAGUGGAAAUAAAAAUCUUUGAACGCUAUGAUGAAAUACGACCCGAAGUUUGCCACUUUGCCUAUCUUUGUGACCGAUAAGGAUUAUGAAUUCUCUGUCGACCAUGAGUUAAUCACUCUAGUCGAAUCUGAUCCUUUUCACGGUUAUGAGUUUGAAAUGGUUGUAGCCCAUCUUACUAAACUGCACGAUAUAGCCACCCUAUUCACUAGUGAGGAAAAGAUCCGCCACUACUAUAUGCUCAAGUUGUUUCCUUUCUCGCUAAAGGAUGAUGCUAAGACCUGGUUCACUUCUCUUGCUCCUCGUUGUGUGCGAAGCCCCCAGGAUAUGGUCUACUACUUAUCUAAGAAAUAUUUCCCUGCCCAUAAGAAGCAAGCUACCUUGCAGGAAAUAUACAACUUUGCUCAAGCUGAGGAAGAGAGUCUCCCACAAGCUUGGGGGAGGCUCAUCCAGCUACGGAAUGCUUUGCCUGAUCACCCUCUUGAGAAGAAUGAAAUACUUGAUAUCUUCUAUAAUGGACUNNNNNNNNNNNNNNNNNNNNNNNNNNNNNNNNNNNNNNNNNNNNNNNNNNNNNNNNNNNNNNNNNNNNNNNNNNNNNNNNNNNNNNNNNNNNNNNNNNNNNNNNNNNNNNNNNNNNNNNNNNNNNNNNNNNNNNNNNNNNNNNNNNNNNNNNNNNNNNNCACCUAGAUAGUUGUGUCGGUUGUGUUUUUAGGGAACGAACCGUAGAACAAGCUGAGAUCCUAUUGAAUAACAUCUUGUGCAAUGAGAAUUCNNNNNNNNNNNNNNNNNNNNNNNNNNNNNNNNNNNNNNNNNNNNNNNNNNNNNNNNNNNNNNNNNNNNNNNNNNNNNNNNNNNNNNNNNNNNNNNNNNNNCUCUUCAUCGUUCAUGCGUAAUCUAUUCGUAGGCUCGCUGGGCGGUGAUGAGUAGGAUGAGAUCUAUCAUGUAAUCGAGUUAGUUUUGACGGGGAUUGAUCCCUAGUAUCCAUUAUGUUCUGAGAUUGAUGUUGCUACUACUUUGCCAUGCUUAAUGCUUGUCACUAGGGCCCGAGUGCCAUGAUUUCAGAUCUGAAAUUAUUAUGUUGUCACCAAUAUAUGUGUGUUUUAGAUCCGAUCUUGCAAGUUGUAGUUACCUACUAUGUGUUAUGACCCGGCAACCCCGGAGUGACAAUAACCGGAACCACUCCCGGUGAUGACCAUAGUUUGAGGAGUUCAUGUGUUCACCAAGUGCUAGUGCGUUGGUCCGGUUCUUUAUUAAAAGGAGAACCUUAAUAUCCCGUAGUUUCCUUUUGGACCCCGCUGCCACGGUAGGGACGGACAAUAGAUGUCAUGCAAGUUCUUUUCCCUAAGCACGUAUGACGACACACGGAAUGCAUGCCUACAUCACAUUGUCGAACGGGAGCUAGCCACAUAUCUCACCGUGUUAUAACUGUUGCAUGAUGAAUUUCAUCCAAACAAAUCACCGACCCAUUGCCUAUGAGUUUGUCCCACGGCUACUGUUACUUGUUUUGCUCUGCUGCUGUCAUUACUAUUUCUGCUGCCGUUACUUGAUACUGCUGUUACUUGCUAUUGUCGCUACUUGCUACUGCUGUCACUUUUGCUGUUCCUUGCCACUGCUGCUACUCGUUACAUUGCUCCUACCUUCUACAAUUGUGAUUCGCUCGGCGUUGACGGGAAAAGACGACGGGAAAAGACAAUUUCCGUCAACGGACAACUUCUCGCGCCAUUGAUACGACAGUUAGGAAUAGUAUGCCGUCAAUAGAUCGUUUCUGACACCGUUGCUAUCAUACUACUUUGCUGUUGAUACUUUGCUUGCAGAUAUUAAUCUUUCAGGUGUGGUUGAAUCUUACACAUUCAGCUGCUAAUACUUGAGAGUAUCCUCUCACUUCCUAUUGGUGAAUCAACAAAUUUGGGUUGAAUACUCUACCCUCGAAAACUGCCUCGAUCCCAUGCGCUGGUGGGUCAUUGCAAGACAAUUUCUAAUUGUUGAGCAAUCGAGAAUAGCAUUCGUCUAGCCAUUGCCAGAGAUUGUCAUCAACAUUUUUCUGGCGCCGUUGCCGGGGAAGCGAUUGCUAUAUUCUUUGAGUCACUUGGUAUUUAUAUCUGCUGAUCACUAUUGAGAAUCUGAAGGAUCCGAAAACCACAGUCUUGCCCUCAACUACGAGGGGAGGUAAGGAACUGCCAUCUAGCUCUGCACUUGAGUCACCUUCAGUUAUGAGUAAGUUUGCGACAUCACCUCUUGCUAGAAAUCUUGAUAUGUCCAUUGUGCUUGAUGAUGCUUAUGAUGCUGCUAUGCCUGAUACUGCUAGAGAUGCUAUGCCUGAUACUUCUAGAGAUGCUAUGCAUGAUACUGCUAGAGAUGCUAUGCCUGAUGAUGCUAUGCUUGAUACUUCUAGAGACACUAAUUUGCCUGAUGUUCCACUAGGGGUGUUCCUUGAUGCUCAUAUUGCAAGAGUUACUGCCAUUGCUCGUGAUGCUUCUGAAACUGCCGAUACUAUUGAGAUAGAACCUGCUUUUGCUCCUGCUAGAUCUAACUCUCCUAGAUAUGAAUUGCCUGAUAUACCUAAGGGUUACGUUAUGGAGGGAGAGAUAGCUGAGGAUUUUCUUGCGUGUAAGGAUGCCUAUGACGCUGAGAAAUUACUUCUCAAGUGGAAGGAAAAAUCUCUGAAAGCUAGGAUGAAAUACGACCCGAAGUUCGCCACUUCACCUAUCUUUAUCACCGAUAAGGAUUAGGAAUUCUCUGUCGAUCCUGAGAUAAUCUCUCUAGUCGAAUCUGAUCCUUUCCACGGUUAUGAGUCUGAGACGGUCGUAGCCCAUCUUACCAAACUACCCCGUAAUUUACGGAGCACUCCCAUCUACUUCGUGAGGCGGCUAUUCAGGCAGUGGCUGCAGCACUCCCGUAUAACACCCAUUAUGAUUUUGGGUUUCGCCAGGACCAUCCAUGGGAGUAUACCAAGCUAGGCCAAAAACCUAAGCUUGGGGGAGUACGUGUUCUCACCGACUAUGCAUUCAUGCUUAUGCUUUCACCUUGUUAGCCGGUGUUUACACUUUGCCACUAUAUUAUCCAUGCUAGUUUAUUUUUGUUUUCUUGUUUUCUUGUUUUGUGUCCUAUUGAGAAAACCCAAAAAGAUUUUGCUUUCUUCUUUUGCUUGUUGGGAGCUUUCUGUAAAUAGUUUUCUUUUUCUUCGGGUCAAGGUAGAAGAUAUUGGUUACAAUGUUGAGUGGCUCUUGCAUGCAUACAUGUUUAGCUUUCAAAGAGCCAUAUUACUUUGUCUUCUCCUUUGUGUUUGCCUGCAGAUUUCAGCUUAGUCCAAUGCACGAGCACUCUUAUUAUUGUUCACAUCGUUCGAUCGUGCAAGUGACAGGCAAUAAUGAUGAUAUAUGAUGAAGUGACUGAGACUGGAAAAGCUGGUAUGAACUAUAUCUAUUUUGUUUCUGUACAUAUGACUAGCUUGUCAUCCCAGAUUCAGCUUUGUUGUGAGAGAACCAUGUUUGCAAUGACAACUUAGAGAUCAUAGUUUCUGAUGCCAUACUUAAUUAGCUGAUAUCUUAUAAUGGUUUAUCUUGAAUGCCAACAUAGAUUUUGCGAUGACUAUGAUGUAGUAUGAUAGGAUGGUAUUCUCCUUUGAGUGAUUCAAGUGGCUUGACUUGGCGCAUGUUCAUGCAUGUAGUUGAAACAAAAUCAACAUAGCCUCUAUGAUGUUCAUAUUCGUGGUGAUUUGUAUCCGUUUCAUGCUUGCACUCAAUGCUAGUCAAACUCAUUGCAUCUUGAUGACUGUUGUCGCUC